rnacentral:rRNA from 1 species
CGAGUGAAGGGGCCCUCUGGGUCCACCUCCCACCCGUGUCUAUCGUACCUUGUUGCUUCGGCGGGCCCGCCGUUUCGACGGCCGCCGGGGAGGCCUUGCGCCCCCGGGCCCGCGCCCGCCGAAGACCCCAACAUGAACGCUGUUCUGAAAGUAUGCAGUCUGAGUUGAUUAUCGUAAUCAGUUAAAACUUUCAACAACGGAUCUCUUGGUUCCGGCAUCGAUGAAGAACGCAGCGAAAUGCGAUAAGUAAUGUGAAUUGCAGAAUUCAGUGAAUCAUCGAGUCUUUGAACGCACAUUGCGCCCCCUGGUAUUCCGGGGGGCAUGCCUGUCCGAGCGUCAUUGCUGCCCUCAAGCACGGCUUGUGUGUUGGGCCCCCGUCCCCCUCUCCCGGGGGACGGGCCCGAAAGGCAGCGGCGGCACCGCGUCCGGUCCUCGAGCGUAUGGGGCUUUGUCACCUGCUCUGUAGGCCCGGCCGGCGCCAGCCGACACCCAACUUUAUUUUUCUAAGGUUGACCUCGGAUCAGGUAGGGAUACCCGCUGAACUUAAGCAUAUCAAUAAGCGGAGGAAA